CAAUAUUUACCCUGUGCCUUUGGAGCAGCAUUCAAUAUAGACUAGCGUUGAACCACAGUUUCAUUAACAGUAAUCUGCACAGUUGGAGGUGUGAGCCAGAUUGAGAACCAAAGCUGGAUAAUAAUUCUUGCUUCUCCAUUUCACUUUUGAAGUUUUUGUUCUAAAAUUCUGAUACGGAGCUCUGGAGUAGUUAUGAGAGUUAAUGAACAGGUCUCUUCCUCUUUUAGGGAUUACUUCUAGACCAGAUAAACUACUUAAGGAAGGAAAGUAAUUUCUUAUUUUGAAUCUCCACUCUGGGUCAGGGUUUCAAAAAUAGUGUAUCAUAAUAGUGAAGAUGAAAACAGGUUAAGAACAACUGUUGGAGGAUAUGCUCUUCAAGGCCAGUGCUGUUGCUUCUUUUUGUACUUUCUGAGUUUUAAAACUGAGUGCCCGUUUUUCAUCUUUCUGGAGCUUUAAGUCUUCUUAAUGAUCUUUGGGAGAUGGUAUGUAUCCAAUAUGUUCCAGGACCCAGGUGUUUCCUUGGUCUUUUUCAGUGAUCUCAGACCUUGAAGUCCUAGCUUAUUCCAUAUGUAUUUUGUGAUCACAAACCCAACCUCAAGCAGCCCAUGCUUACCCUGGGACUUAUCCCACAUGUCAUCUCCUGGAAAACAGCCCUAUAUGACUGCCCCAAAUGGAACCAACCGCUUUCUCCCUGUGCAAGAGAAGCCUUUGAAGAGAAGCUCUUUGAAGAGUUUGGUGAAUAAAAGAACUAGUUAAUAAGGUGAGGUUUUUUGGGUUUGUUUGUUUGUUUGUUUGUUUGUUUGCUUUUUGUUUUUUGUUUUGAGACGGAGUCUUGCUCUGUUGCCCAGGCUAGAGUGCAGUGGCUCGAUCUCGGCUCACUGCAACCUCCACCUCCUGGGUUCAAGUGAUUCUCCUGCCUCGGCUUCCGGAGUAGCUGGAAUUACAGGUGCGCACCACCAUGCCCGGCUAAUUUUUUUUUUAUUUAUUUUUAGUAGAGAUGGGGUUUCACCAUGUUGGUCAGGCUGGUAUCCAACUCCUGACCUCAAGUGAUCUGCCCGCCUCGGCCUCCCAAAGUGCUGAGAUUACAGGCGUGAGCCACCAUGCCUGGCCUAGGUGGGUUUUUAACCAUAGGGACAGUCCAAUAAUGUCUAGUUUGACUUUAAGAUUAAGCCUUUUAACUUCAGUAAUGAAGGAAGGGGUGUAAAAUAGCAUUAAGCCGGCAAGUUAGGUCAUGUAACUUGGCUAAUCACAUUAGACUUGAUGUUUAAAGAGAGAAGGAGAGUGUGUAGAGCAGGAAUUAUGAAAUUUAUAAUCAGCUUUAGAGUAGGCUGAGAUUUCCUUGGAUGUCAAUAAUUAUGAGUAAACAAGAAUUCUGUCAUCCCACAUGUAAGUAAGCAGUUACAAGACUGCUUACUUAUCUGUCUUGGACAUUGAUAGAAAGCACAUGAUUGGGAAGGGGCAGUUCCUUGACUGAGGGAAGGAAUUGUGUCUGGUUCACUUUUCUAUCACCAACAUAGUAGAUGCUCAACAAAUACUUGUUGGAUAGAGGUCCACUCUUGUACUCAAAUAAAUUAUAUUUGAAUAUUACUAUAGUUCUUAUGCACAAACUGAUGUCAAUAACUCCUGUAAUUGUUGUGUAUGUGUGUGUGUCAGGGGGAGGUAAGCAUUAAAAUUUUAAAGAACCCACAGUUUAAGAGUCUUUGGAAAUACAUUCAACUUUUCU
rnacentral:lncRNA from 1 species